UACGAAGGGGGCUAGCGUUGUUCGGAAUGACUGGGCGUAAAGGGUGUGUAGGCGGUUAAACACGUCAGAUGUGAAAUCCCCAGGCUUAACCUGGGAAUGGCAUUUGAUACGGUAUAGCUAGAGAUUGGUAGAGGGUAGAGGAAUUGCGAGUGUAGAGGUGAAAUUCGUAGAGAUUCGCAGGAACACCGGUGGCGAAGGCGGCUACCUGGGCCAAUACUGGACGCUGAGGCACGAGAGCGUGGGGAGCAAACAGG
rnacentral:rRNA from 1 species